ensembl:misc_RNA
UUGACGUUUCUAGAGAAUUAAGUUCUCUGUCUACUCACAAAAUAGGUUAAGCAUGGAGAGUGGCAAUGUAAGCUUCCCCACACUGCCCCACUAACAAGCCUCAACCCUGCAUCAGAGAGAUCACCUAUACUAGGGAGAGAAUAAUUAAGUUUAAAUAUCCAUUCAGUCCCCACACUCCC